GGCAAGCCCUUCCACAUAUGACCGAAAGGCCAUCUCCCUUCCACCUACGCUGGCUUUCAUCGAUGCCAAUAGCUGUGUCCUACCUGCUCAGCGUCACUGAUCACCCUCACACCCUUGCCACACCGGAGGCAAAGCCACAAUAAACCCAAACAAGAGCCAGAGGCAUACCCAUCUUCAUGCCUAUGGUUUAUGGAAAGGACCCAUCUUCACGCUAACGCCACAUCAGAGCCAGAGCUAGACCCUGACCAGAGGCAGAGAUCCACCUUCCAGAUGCAGACCCAUUUUCUUCUUCUUUCGAUGUUUGUUUGGUAUUUAGUUAGCAAAUUGGAGACUUGGGUUUGUUGAGAUUUGGUGUUAUUUUUUGUUGGGUUUGUUAGAUUUGUUCUUAUUCUAUUUGCUAGAUUGUUUGCUGUGUUGAGAUCAACUGUUUAUUUACCUGGG
rnacentral:misc_RNA from 1 species